rnacentral:rRNA from 1 species
GACAGAGGAGCCAAGCGUUGUCCGGACUGACUGGGCGUAAAGCGCCCGCAGGCGGCCGUGCACGUGGGGUGUGAAAGCUCGCGGCUUAACUGCGAGAGGCCAUCCCAUACGGCGCGGCUCGAGCCGUCCAGAGGCCGGUGGAAUUGCCGGUGUAGUGGUGAAAUGCGUAGAUAUCGGGAGGAACACCAGUGGCGAAGGCGACUACCUGGCCUGUUCUUGACGCUGAGGCGCGAAAGCUAGGGGAGCAAACGGG